GUUUGUGGCAUCUGUAUCUUCUGUGAGAGGCCGUAAAGCCAAACUGCCCACAAUGAUUCUUGACAGGCCUAAGAAGGCCAAAACUAAAGUAACAGUGUUUAGUGUUCUGAGUGAAGAGGAGGCUGGGGAGCUAGCCCUCGGGUUUGCCGGAAGAUUGGCCUGCGAUGUCACAACAGACAUGGUCUGUAAAGGCAUCGACCAUUCAAGUGCUGAUAUGACAAAACAGACUCUUCUCAAA